AGCUCCAAUAGCGUAUAUUAAAGUUGUUGCGGUAAAAAAGCUCGUAGUUGGAUUUCUGUUGAGGACGACCGGUCCAUACCAUGUAUGCGCAUCUGGCUCGGCCUCGGCAUCCUCUCGUUUUGGGUUCCUGUGCUUGAUUGCAUGGGGCUUAUAGCGGGACUUUUACUUUGAGGAAAUUAGAGUGUUCACGGCAGGCUAUCGCCAGAAUACAUUAGCAUGGAAUAAUAUUAUAGGAUCGAGAUUCUAUUUUGUUGGUUUCUAGAAUUUUGAUAAUGAUUAAUAGGGACAAUUGGGGGCAUUCGUAUCAACACGUCAGAGGUGGAAUUCUUGGAUUGUGUUGCGACGAACUACUGCGAAAGCAUUUGCCAAGGAUGUUUUCA
rnacentral:rRNA from 1 species